UAACCCUUUGCAGAUGGCCCAUUCUAAUUUCGGUACCCCAGUACCGAUGACGUUCAGUCUAAUAACUCCGCCAUACCCCAACCAAUUUUAUCACUGAAAACUUCCUCAAAAACGUCACAUCAUAGGCUUUCUGGCAAUAUGAUUGGUUAAGGGAUUUGUGGCGCGAAUUUCUUUUACUACGUGAAGGAAAAAUCAAGAGUUGACGUCUCCCUCCACUAGAGGAAAACAGCAGGAAGCACUAUGCAUCGUUGAUCUUGACGUCGUCUAAAGGAGAAACUACUGGAUCAUCUGAGAUGGAGGGAGAGAAGUACGUGCAACUGGGGUGAAAGCAGCCGACUGCUGAUGGCAAAUAUGACCCCAAGGACCAAGAUGGCAUGGACAUGGGACAUGGAUGGGUAGCUUCUGGAUGAAGAAGAAGACAAUGAUGUGCUACAGGAGGAGAUAAUCUUCCAUCAUCCUCAGCUGGGUAAGCAUGUUUGUGUGUGUGUGUGCGUCCAUCUGGGCGCAAGCACAUUUCUGGUUGUGAUAAGAGUGUUGCUUAUAACAAUAAUGAGAGGGAUUAUAGUGAUAAUAGUUUGGUUAGAUUUGUAAUUCAAUUUCUAUAUUUCUUAUCUGACAAUUUCUUUUUUUUGAGUUUUGUCAAGUCCCAUGUCAGGUAGAAAGCAUACACUUUGCCUAUCCUUCCAACACAGACAGAGACACCAACUCCAAUAGCAUUUACACCCCAUCGUCUGCUAGGCUUAGAUGGACACACACACGCAUGCACACACACACA